rnacentral:lncRNA from 1 species
GAAAGCUUUGAAAAAUUUCUUGCAGAUAGAGACAAGAGACAACAAGCACAGCAUUCAUAUUGGAGAGGCCAAUGUUGAGUUAGAGGAGCCUGAUUUCAAUGGCUCCCUUUGAGAAGGACAAAUAUUUUCUUUAUCCUAUGCAUAAGAUGAUGACAGUCUGUGAAUGAUAGGUAAGAGGAAUUGUUGCCCAGAUCUCCUUCACAGCACAACUGAGUUCCCAGCAUGUGGGCACGGCACAUGCUAGAUGGUCACACUCCAAGUGUUCUCCGUUGUAUUGAUAGAUCUGAGUUGGUUCUUCAUUGCUGUGAAAUACAUUAUCAUAAGCAUAGUGACCCAACACAUAUGACUCAUACACAUUAAUGAGUCAUACUAGGGCCUUUUCCUCUGUCUACUUCUUCCACACACUUCCUUCAUGGGUGUUCAUAUCUCUUCACUAUCUCUUGUAACUCAAGCAAAACAGGGCAUGCAUGAUACUGGGUAAAUGGGUAGCACCUACUUCAGGGAUCCACAAGCAGGGUUGCUAAAACUUUACAUUAAGAGAACAAAUUGACCUGAUCCUGGCUUGCAUAAAGGGAAGAGCAUGAUCCUGAGUCAAAAGAAAAUUUCCAGAGAGAAUGGGAUCAUGUCUGUCAGUCUCUGAUUUUAUGGCCAGCUCCUAGGCUUAGCAUCUGGCAUGGUAGUAUGCCUUGAAGGAAAGGGACUGAGCAUAUGCCGGUGAACUGUGGAGCAAUAAACUUGCAAUCACACCACCUCACUUCAGAGCUGGCAGACAUUUACACUGACAAAAGCUCUCAUCAACACAGGCAAACCUUGUCACUCAGCAGAAACAGCAUAAGGUAGCCAGAAGGAACACAGAGGAGUGGUAGGGAAUUUCUGUUUCUUCUUAGCCCUUGUGAGAAUACAAAAUCAAAAACAAAAACAAACAAAAAGACCCACUUGUUCCUCUGUCCUUCCCUUUGGGGAUCAUGUGGAUACUUUUAGUGAUGGAUAGAGUGGAGGGAGGGACCUUGAGAUGCAAAGAUACUGCUCCCUAUUAAGGUAGGCAUGAAAGCUAUUGGGUAACCGGUUAGAAAUAUGAAAGAGAUGUGAAUGCAUUUGCAGUAAAACUUGAUGGAAUGAGUCAGAAUUACAUUUAGAUAUUCAGGUUGACACCAUCACUAACGCACAAUACUAUAUUACUGUGAACAUUCUAGUCUCUAGUUCACCUGUGGGGAAGACAGUUUGUUAUUUAAUUUUCUUUCAAUAUGGGAAGUUCAGAGAAUCUAAGUUAUGAUUAAGCAAAGUGAGGGAGAAGAGAGAAUUAAUAGACUUUUUUCUUCAGAACAAAGGGCAGAAUACCAUGGAAAGAUAAACCUUCAGUUUCUGUGUGCGAUCUUGGUAGUGCUCCUCCCUCCCUAACACUUGCCUUGGCAGCAGGUUAUUCUUCUCUGUUGGAUAACUGUAUGGGCAAAUACUCAGAUGUUAAGAAUCUCUAACAAAGAUGGAGCACCAGUAGCCUGCAUCCCUCUGUACCAAAAACUAUAUAAAAGUCACAGCAAUAACUCAGUGUUGUUCCAUAAGGCAACAUCAGAAAGAAUGCCUCUCAUAAGACUAGGGCUUGGGAGCUUCACAGUUGAGGAUGAAGAAAGGGCACAGCUGGUAGGAGCCUAUGAAAAAUCAUAUGAAUCAUUGCAGCUCAUUGAGGUAGUGACGGAGAUCCAAUCCAAACACUGAUUAAUCAGCUACACACCUACCAGUCAUACUCACACCAAGCAAAGGGGAUUCAGACAACAGGUUUGCUAUUUGUUCACCUGGACCCCUGUAGUGUAAAAUGGGCAGUAAAACUGAAAGUAUAAUCUCUAUAUCCAGGGCCCUGACUGGGUCCCCACUCUAUGAGACAAAUAGUUCUCAACUGUCUGCACUAAUUAGUGGUACCACAAUCCAUUCUGAGGCAUGUCACAAGCAAUUUGUUGGUCAUAAUAAACUAGCAAAUUUUGCCAAUGAUUUCUUUCGUUAUAAAUUAGACUAAUGUGCUGAGACUUCUUUGGCUGUAAUUGAAAGAUAGCCAAAUUGAAUUUGUUUAGGUCAGAAGAACUUACUGCAAGAUCUUCUGAACUACAGAAGCAUGAAGACACUGAGCAUUAACAACUGAAAAAAACCAAAAAAACAAAAACAAAACCAACAAAACAGGAGCUGCGUGCCCCAGCAUGCUCACUUUUCUCUGCAUGCAUUUUGCAUUCUUUCCCACUGCAGGCCAGGUCAGUCUCCUUUGCAGACCACAUGGGGCAAACGGUUCUCAAGCCUUACAUGCCACUCAGUUGAUAGGUGAGCAUCCUGAAUCUCAGAUUCAAGUUCCGGUUUAAAUGUAUUUAGGAAUUAUUCCAGUCUGUGCAUCUUCAGUCAUGAACGUGCUACCAAAAUCGUGUGCAAGGAGUGACAUGGUUCUAACUCCUACCUAUUAUAGAAACCUAUAGAGAAGCCUGCAUUACCCAGAGCAGCUCCUGAAAUCAUUCACUAGUCAUUACUCCAGCCCAGUUGUCCUCCUUCCUUUGUACCUUUUAUAUUCCGGUCCAGAACUACAAAUCUGACUGCACAGUGAACUCAUGUCCUAAAAAUUAUUCUCAGCAGGUUCCUCUAAUUCUCUGCAAAGGCACCACUUCUAACAUUCUUCUAUUGAAUGGAUGCUGUUUCUCUCUCUCUCUGCCAUCAGAUGCUUCUAAUUCUGAGUAUGUGUCUUGCUCACUGCAUCAACCUUGCAAGUCAUUUCUUCCUCUCUCCAAGUCCUCAAACUACUGGACUCAGGCCAGUAGACUAUGUAUACCCACCUCCUCUUUGCUUGCCAUAUCCAUCAGCCCACUGGCCAUUUCCUUUUCUUUACUGACAGUCAUGGCAUUUGAUUCAUUGUCAUCUCCUGUAUCCUCUCUUCCACAACCACAAAGACAAUCCAUCCAGCAUCCUGCUGUCUUUUAUGGGUACCAAAAAGGUAGAUAGUACAGAAAAGAAGAGGGAGGUUCUGUUCUUCUACAGUAGAACGGAUGAGCAUAGUUCAUAGCCAUCUACCAUAUCAUGAAGGUCUAGAAAGGGAUUAUGAAGACUCCAAGCACAAAGAGAUGGUACCCAAAGGGAAAUGCUAAUUAACCCAACAUGAUCAGUGUAUGCAUAUUCAUGGGCUGAAAUACCACAACUGUCUUCAUUAAUAUGUACAAUUAUUACACAUUAAAUAACAACACACAAAGGGAGGACUCAUCCGGGACUUGUUUUGCAGGUGAAACAGUGACGACUUCACCAGGGACAUGAAAGGGCAGGGUCAAAGUCAUAGGACACAGAGACAGCCGCAUGCCUUUGAAAAACUGCAGGUCAUUUUAUUUAGCUGGGAUAUGGAGGGGACUGUAAACAUGGAUGAGCAAACAGGGCAUGGAACUUUAUAUACUGUAUUUAAAAAAUUUUUGUUUUCAAUUCCUUUUUCGGGGUGGGGUUCUUUUAAAACAAUAACUAUCAUUUAAAUACAUUAGCAUUUCUACCUGACAGUAUUUUGUUCAAUGUACAAGAAUAAAAUUCCUCUAAGUCUGGAUCCAUAGCAGUAGAAAUUGUCUAUUCAUCUUCACCUCCUAUAUCUGAUAGGAUACUCUCAGUUUCUAGGUACUAGCCAUUAACUGAGUAAACCAUACAGUUUCAUAAAAAUACUUUAAGAUGGGUAUGUCCAUAGGAUUAUUUAUAAACAAAAAGUUAUCAAGAAACAUGCUCCAACUUGCAAAUAAAAGCUUACAGUUAAACUUUAGCAACUCCUCUAAAUUCGUAUGCCAGAAAUAAAGACUUUGUGACCUUGUGGGCUUUGCUUCUGUUUCUACUGCCUUGUGCUGGAGAACUCUUCAAUCAGGUUGAAGUUUCUAGGUGACUUCAUUAGUUUAAGGCUUGUGAGGGGCUUUUGAGAGCCAUUAUUUUAUCAAAUCCUCCCCAUCAAGUUUGAGAAAGGUUAGAGGCUGGUCUUAUUAUCCCUACAAUAAGGAAUGCAGGGCAGAGAUUUUGAGCCACUUGUCCAAGGUCAUGCCACAAAUAAGCUAGAGUUUGAACUUAAACAGGCUCUGUGGCUCCUAGCCCUGUGAUCUCCGCACUGCCUCUUGGUUACAAUAAGGACACCUGACAUUGAAGGCUGUAGGUAACAAGUAAGGUUGUUACACGAUACUGCUAUUAAAAACUCCAAGGUAAAAACCAUCUGUGCUAAUAAGUGUGUGAAUCACCAGUGAAACUUGACAAUGCCUUUGUCCUUUCGCUUCUGGUGUUAUUGGUCAGAUCCUAGCAUUAUGUCUUCUCAGAAAAGAGAUCUUUCAAGAAAUGUGUGAAGAAAUGCACAGAAGAGCUGCAGCCUAUUAUAUCUGAUCUGUGCCAGAAUAGUAUUGGAGGACUGUGUUCGCCAGCUCCUCAGAGGUCAGAGCCUCACAGGAAAUUAGCACAAGGCAGCAACGCAAAUAAAGACUCAAACUAAGGCGGAAAAGUACUGGUGGUUCAGUGCAAGGAAUAUGUUCUCAGAGCAGGAUAUGAAAUCUCUAUCACUUCAGAUUUAGAAGAAAAGGAGAGAUUUUGUUUGGGGUAAGUAGAAAAGUCUGGAAGCUGAAGGGCAUUGAAAAUGAGUCUGCUUCCCUCUCAUACGGGUGGAGAUGGGGUAGCAGUGAACUUGAGGUUUCUCUGACCUCAUUCUCUCUUAGUUUCAUUAUUCCUAUACCUGCCUAUGCCACUGUGUGCUUUACCAACUCUAGGCUAAUUCAUUUUACUUGAAUUAUCGUUUGAGAAGCAAAAAGUGGAUAGAAAAAAGUCCUAUUAAGAGAAUAUGGGAGGGAAAGAAGCCAUUAUUCCUGAGUCUGAUUGACAAGAUGCUUGUCAGAUGAGAGGCAAGGAUUCCAUAGGAACUAAAUUUUGCUGUGAAGGCUGAUGAUAUAGAAAUAAUAUUCUUUUUAUAUAGAAAUAUUGUCAAAUAAAGCAUUAAAAUAGCAAUGGAGGAUGCUUAAGAUCUGGGCAUAUAAGAUUUUGAAAUUUACUCCUUUCUCAGUUAUUUCCUGGUAAUCUCACAGCCAUGUCUUUUAUGUAUAGUAAAAGUACCCUAACUUGCCCUGCAUCCCAUGUCAUGUAUCGUGUGGAGUCAUCAGCUAUAAUCUUAGCCAAUGCAUGUUUGGAACCAAGCUAGAAUCUCACUUCUCACUUUAGUUUCUUAGCAACCCAUUGGAGGUCUGAGUUCAAAACCCACCAAAAUUGUGUAUGUAAGUACUGUAAAGACAAUUAAAUAAUUCUGCCUGAUUCUGUCUUGAGAAGCUGAUCCUCAUUUUUCUUUUCGGUGACUCAUCCUUUCACUGAGUGCCUUUCUAUUAACCCUAUGCUCAAAUGUUUUCUUCCUAUGCAAGGCAUGCCUUUGCUUAGCUUUUGAGACCAAAUGCAAGCAGGAAGGUUUAAGGCAUGGCUGUAGACUCAAACAUUCUCCUAAAUAAACUACAAGUCAACUUCAUAUGGACUCUGACUUAAAUUCUAUUCUGUGGAAUAAGCUGAGUCUCCCGGCGUCAACAGAGAGAUCUCUGAAACAAACUUCCCUGGCUGCUGCAAGUGAUAUUAUAGAGCUGUUCUCCUCCCACUCCUCAUUGCUGCUGACACCAUGAACUAUGUUUCCACUACCACAGAAAAUCUGCUAUUUGGAAGGAAUCAUUUAUUGGUACUACCUAGAAAACAAGAAGCUAAGCCA